GACGGAGGAUGCAAGCGUUAUCCGGAAUGAUUGGGCGUAAAGCGUCCGCAGGUGGCAGUUCAAGUCUGCUGUCAAAGACCGGGGCUUAACUUCGGAAAGGCAGUGGAAACUGAACAGCUAGAGUAUGGUAGGGGCAGAGGGAAUUCCUGGUGUAGCGGUGAAAUGCGUAGAGAUCCGGAGGAACCCCAGAGGCGAAGGCGGCGCCCUGGCUCGCAACUGACGCUCAGACACGACAGCAUGGGGAGCGAACGGG
rnacentral:rRNA from 1 species